rnacentral:rRNA from 1 species
CGCGUAGGUGGUUUGUUAAGCGAGAUGUGAAAGCCCCGGGCUUAACCUGGGAACGGCAUUUCGAACUGGCAAGCUAGAGUGUGGUAGAGGGUAGUGGAAUUUCCUGUGUAGCGGUGAAAUGCGUAGAUAUAGGAAGGAACACCAGUGGCGAAGGCGGCUACCUGGACCAACACUGGCACUGAGGUGCGAAAGCGUGGGGAGCAAACA